GACGAACGCUGGCGGCGUGCUUAACACAUGCAAGUCGAACGGAAAGGCCCCAGCUUGCUGGGGUACUCGAGUGGCGAACGGGUGAGUAACACGUGGGUGAUCUGCCCUGCACUCUGGGAUAAGCCUGGGAAACUGGGUCUAAUACCGGAUAGGACCGUGCUUUAGUGUGUGCGGUGGAAAGUUUUUCGGUGCAGGAUGAGCCCGCGGCCUAUCAGCUUGUUGGUGGGGUAAUGGCCUACCAAGGCGGCGACGGGUAGCCGGCCUGAGAGGGUGUACGGCCACAUUGGGACUGGGACACGGCCCAGACUCCUACGGGAGGCAGCAGUGGGGAAUAUUGCACAAUGGGCGCAAGCCUGAUGCAGCGACGCCGCGUGGGGGAUGACGGCCUUCGGGUUGUAAACCCCUUUCGGCAGGGACGAAGCUUUUGUGACGGUACCUGCAUAAGAAGCACCGGCUAACUACGUG
rnacentral:rRNA from 1 species